rnacentral:rRNA from 1 species
GGCCUAACACAUGCAAGUCGAGCGGAUGAUGGGAGCUUGCUCCCGGAUUCAGCGGCGGACGGGUGAGUAAUGCCUAGGAAUCUGCCUGGUAGUGGGGGACAACGUUUCGAAAGGAACGCUAAUACCGCAUACGUCCUACGGGAGAAAGCAGGGGACCUUCGGGCCUUGCGCUAUCAGAUGAGCCUAGGUCGGAUUAGCUAGUUGGUGGGGUAAAGGCCUACCAAGGCGACGAUCCGUAACUGGUCUGAGAGGAUGAUCAGUCACACUGGAACUGAGACACGGUCCAGACUCCUACGGGAGGCAGCAGUGGGGAAUAUUGGACAAUGGGCGAAAGCCUGAUCCAGCCAUGCCGCGUGUGUGAAGAAGGUCUUCGGAUUGUAAAGCACUUUAAGUUGGGAGGAAGGGCAGUAAGUUAAUACCUUGCUGUUUUGACGUUACCAACAGAAUAAGCACCGGCUAACUUCGUGCCAGCAGCCGCGGUAAUACGAAGGGUGNCAGCGUUAAUCGGAAUUACUGGGCGUAAAGCGCGCG